rnacentral:sRNA from 1 species
UCCGUUGCGUCUACAGCCGGAGCGUUAACGUUCGGCUGAUGGCUGGUGGCAAUUGCCACCGGCCU